UACGGAGGGUGCGAGCGUUAAUCGGAAUUACUGGGCGUAAAGAGUGCGUAGGUGGUUAAUUAAGUUAUCUGUGAAAUCCCUGGGCUUAACCUGGGCAGGUCAGAUAAUACUGAUUGACUCGAGUAUGGGAGAGGGUAGUGGAAUUUCCGGUGUAGCGGUGAAAUGCGUAGAGAUCGGAAGGAACACCAGUGGCGAAGGCGGCUACCUGGCCUAAUACUGACACUGAGGCACGAAAGCGUGGGGAGCAAACAGG
rnacentral:rRNA from 1 species